rnacentral:rRNA from 1 species
UACGGAGGGGGUUAGCGUUGUUCGGAAUGACUGGGCGUAAAGCGCGCGUAGGCGGAUCGGAAAGUCGGGGGUGAAAUCCCGGGGCUCAACCCCGGAAUGGCCUUCGAAACUCCCGGUCUUGAGUUCGAGAGAGGUGAGUGGAAUUCCGAGUGUAGAGGUGAAAUUCGUAGAUAUUCGGAGGAACACCAGUGGCGAAGGCGGACUCACUGGCUCGACACUGACGCUGAGGUGCGAAAGCGUGGGGAGCAAACAGG